rnacentral:sRNA from 4 species
GUGCGGCCUAAAUUUUUCAGGCAGCGCCCUUUCGAAAAUAACUUUAUAAAACAGGCGCAGCCACGAUUUCCCUGGUGUUGGCGCAGUAUUCGCGCACCCCGGUUAAGCC